rnacentral:snRNA from 1 species
UUGUUUUACUUCACCAGCACAUAUAUUAACAUCGGAACAAUACAAAGAAGAUUAGCACAACCCCUGCACAAGGAACACACGCAAAUUCAUGAAGCAUUCCAUAUUUUU